AGUGGAGCUAAAGCAAGAACCGCAAAAUACACUAUUGCUAGCCAAUUAUGCUCAAUUUCUUUUCUUGGUCGCCCAGGAUUAUGACAGAGCAGAAAAGUACUUCAAGAAAGCAGCAGAGGUGGAGCCAAAGGAUGCAGAGGCAUUGAAUAAGUAUGCAAAUUUUCUCUGGAAAGUAAGGAAGGACCUUUGGGCUGCAGAAGAGACCUUUAAUCAAGCUAUAGCUGCAGAACCAAACAAUAACUUUUAUGCAGCUAAUUAUGCUCAUUUUCUUUGGAAUACUGGUGGUGAAGAUACUUGUUACCCGCUCGACUCUUCCAAUACCGAUCUAUAAUCCCAAAACGGAGAAGAGAAUAAAGAUGAUUGAUGAUUAUUGUGGAAGAUGUAAGGACAAAAACAACAAGACGAGAUCGAAGAAAAAAUCUUAUUGGUUAAAGAGAUACAAUUGAGAAAAAUAUAAUAAAGGGAAAACAACAAGGGUGUCCAAGAUGAUUUUGGUUUUGCUACAUUUGAUCAACUGCUUCACUUGGACUUUCCCUUUUGUUUGUUAAUUGCUGGACUGUGGUGUCCAAGAUGAUUUUGGUUUUGCUACAUUUGAUCAACUGCUUCACUUGGACUUUCCCUUUUGUUUGUUAAUUGCUGGACUGUGGUGUCCUUGGAGACAAGGAGGAGCAAGGAGGGUGACUUGGGUUUGUUAAUUAACAAACCAUAUCCCUUUGGCCUUAUUUAAAUAAUAAUAUGAUACAGCUCCUCUUCAAAUGUGUAAAUUCAGCAAAGUCUUGGCUAUUUUAGAUCAG
rnacentral:misc_RNA from 1 species